UACGUAGGGACCAAGCGUUGUUCGGAUUUACUGGGCGUAAAGGGCGCGUAGGCGGCAAUUCAAGUCAGCUGUGAAAUCUCCGGGCUUAACUCGGAACGGUCAGCUGAUACUGCUUUGCUAGAGUGCAGAAGGGGCAAUCGGAAUUCUUGGUGUAGCGGUGAAAUGCGUAGAUAUCAAGAGGAACACCUGAGGUGAAGACGGGUUGCUGGGCUGACGCUGACGCUGAGGCGCGAAAGCUAGGGUAGCAAACGGG
rnacentral:rRNA from 1 species